GCCUUCCUUGAAGUGGGAGAUGGCUUCACAAACCCCUGGGCAGCCGGUCCUGGUGUCCGGCCAGACCGUCUGGAACAGCAGGCUGGAACGGCAGGGACGAGCACGAAUCCUGGGUG